UCUGGGUUGCAUGGCUACAUGCCGUUGCUACGGCUUGUACUUGCCACCUGGUGAGUGCAGGUCAUGCAUUGGUGUCGUGGUUGUGUAGCCUUUCUGUCGUGUCUGUGUAUACGGGUGCAUUCGAGAGCCUAUAAGGACUCGUUUGCAUGCUUUGGGAUGCCUUUAAUUGGGUGUCCUAAGCGGACGACACGUUUACUUUGAACAAAUUUGAGUGCUCAAAGCAGGCCAUAGUGCCUGAAAAUCUUGCAUGGAAUAAUGAAAUAGGACUUCGGUUCUAUUUUGUUGGUUUUCGGAUCCGAAGUAAUGG
rnacentral:rRNA from 1 species